CGCUAGAGCGCCGCCGCGAGCGUCUUAAAGGGCGUUAAGACCUUCAGCGCCUUGGACCCGGUUCUCGCUGUGGGCGUGGGACCUUGAAGCACGGGCCGCCGGUCGAGCCCUCCCACCCACGAGGCUGUCGGGAAGCAGCGGGAACGACCGAGUCCCUAAGAAAGACCGGAGAGCGAAUCUGCGGACGCGUCGGCCUCACGGCCCGGGGGAGAUGCUCGGCAACGUCGUGACUCCCCGGGCUAAAAGCCGUAUACAGGGCGAAGGGGGAGGAGAUGCGUGGCUUUUGCGGGAGAGGAACGGGCCUUAGAAGACAAACGGGCGGGAGGACCGUGUGACACCGGCUAUGUUGUUCCUCCUAGUCCCUCGGGGGUCUCGGACGACUGAGUUCCUUUGGGAGGCUGUUUAGGCAAGAAGGGAAGUUCAGACAAGCCUCUUCCUGCAUUGACUGAUUUUCAGGGGCACACAGCUCAGAAUAGCCAAUGUACCGAGGGGAUCUUCCCGACCCAAGGAUCGAACCUGCGUCUCCAACUUCUCCUGCAUUGGCAGGUGGGUUCUUUACCACUGCGCCACCCGGGAAGCCCUAUAAAGCCCCAGCAAUCCUGUAAUCAGAGUUGAGAUGACUUUCCCUUGUCGCAAGCGUCGAAUAAGUGUUCUUUUCAGUUUUAAACAAGCACCUUGUGCACUUUUUUUUCUUUAUAGGUUAGUGGUUUGUGUAUUGGAGUCACCAGGAAAUUAGAAAUGAAUGAGGCCCCAGCCCCCUUGUCCAGAGAUGCUGGCCUAGCAGUCUGGGCUGCAGCUCGGGUGUGGGGAUUUACACGCUCCACAGGCAUUUCUGUUGGGCAGACAAGUUUGUGAGGCUACAUGGGAGCAGACAGUUUGCCUGUGUUAGGACCCACGGGCCGGAAGUGUUUGGAGGAGGGGGUGAGAGGAAUAGUGCUGAGGUCAACUGUACUAUUCUCUGUUCUUGUUUUUGUUAACCCCUCACCCCAGCAGAAUUGCCAGUUUUAUUUUGUUUUGAAAUUUCUGAACAUUGUAUUGAAGGGUGAUGGACUUCCAGAAAAGUGUGCACACAGCGUAAGUGGAUUUAGUCCAGGCACAACACAUCCGUGUAGCCAUCAUGAAGCUCAAGAAAACAAUGAUCACCAGUCUCUACAACGCCCCCCUGUACCCUGACACUGUAGUUUUGCUGCUUUUUUCGCGCUUCCUGUAUAUGGUGCAGGGCCAGGCCUAGGUGUGCGGGAGUCAUCUGUGUGUGGGUGGCACUUGGGCAUUGUCUGCUUUCUGGUGUUUCAGUACAUUUGAAUGAGUGUG